GAACGCACAUUGCGCCCGCCAGUAUUCUGGCGGGCAUGCCUGUCCGAGCGUCAUUUCAACCAUCAAGCCCCGGGCUUGUGUUGGGGCCCUGCGGCUGCCGCAGGCCCUGAAAACCAGUGGCGGGCUCGCUAGUCACUCCGAGCGUAGUAGUUUACACCUCGCUCAGGGCGUGCUGCGGGUUCCGGCCGUUAAAAGCCUUAUUUUACCCAAGGUUGACCUCGGAUCAGGUAGGAAGACCCGCUGAACUUAAG
rnacentral:misc_RNA from 1 species